rnacentral:rRNA from 1 species
GACGAACGCUGGCGGCGUGCUUAACACAUGCAAGUCGAACGGUGAAGCGCCUUCCUUUUUGGUGGGUGUGGAUGAGUGGCGAACGGGUGAGUAACACGUGAGUAGCCUGCCCCCUUCUUCUGGAUAACCGCAUGAAAGUGUGGCUAAUACGGGAUAUUCUGGGUCUGUCGCAUGAUGGGUCUGGGAAAGAUAUUGUUUCGGUGGGGGAUGGGCUCGCGGCCUAUCAGCUUGUUGGUGGGGUGAUGGCCUACCAAGGCGGUGACGGGUAGCCGGCCUGAGAGGGUGGACGGUCACACUGGGACUGAGACACGGCCCAGACUCCUACGGGAGGCAGCAGUGGGGAAUAUUGCACAAUGGGCGCAAGCCUGAUGCAGCGACGCCGCGUGAGGGAUGGAGGCCUGCGGGUUGUGAACCUCUUUCGCCAGUGAAGCAGGCCUGCCUCGUUUGUGGGCGGGUUGACGGUAGCUGGAUAAGAAGCGCCGGCUAACUACGUG